CUACUCAGCUGAAAUUUUAAGUUCUUAUUGAUUCUUUCAAGUUCCAUAAACAAAGCUGAGUAGAAGGCUAUUCAGCUUCAAAUGAAACUUUAAAAAAAAAUCUUGCAAAAAUAAAGCGUUCUAAAGUAGUUUUAUACUUUUAAUUAUGAUUAUCUUUAAUCUUUAUUUAUUAUUUAUAUUUGUUUCUAUUUUCAACAAUUUUAAACUUACUUGAAAAAUUUUCCUGCAUGGAGAUUUGAACCUGAACCUGUGGAAUGAAAGCUGAGCACGUUACCUUUGGACCAUGGCCGUUUUCUGAUUCAAUGGUAUUUAAAACAUCUAUUUGAAAUAAUUUACGGGUUAUCCUUUUAAAAGUAGGCCAGAUGAAAAAUAGUAAACAAUCAGCUUCUAAAAGUAAAAACAAAAGUUGUGAAACGAGGGCUGCCGUACGAAAUAAAUUAUCCUUGCCAUCAAUUUUGCACACCAUGAAUUGAUAAUCUCCGUGUGAGUCGUAUCCGCAACAUUUAAAUUUGAACUUCAAAAAAGGAAUAUACCUACAAAAUAUGUGGACCGUGAACAAGCCGCUGCCAUUUCUGUUACAAUACAAUCCAAUUUUGCAGAACUGCAAAGAAGAACUGCAGAAACAGAGUCUACAGGAGGAAAUUAUUGGCUGAUACCAGAAAACAAAAUUUAAGAAAAUUAUCAAAAUUGUUCGAUUUUUACGGCAAAUCGUCGCAUUCAACAUGGAAAAAUAAUGAGCUAAAUCGACCCACAUUUCCUAAGGAUCCAUCGACCCGUCGAAAUAAUCUGCCUUUGAUGUUUGUUCGA